rnacentral:ncRNA from 1 species
UUAAAGGCAUUGAAAAAGAGGAGUACAUAUCCUUAUCCGACAGAGAGAACCGUUCACUGGCUGGAAGAUGGUUCAGGUAAUAAUGAUAUGGAAGGUAGCUUUGGAGCCGCAUGGCUGAACUGUUGAUUUAAGUAGGCUGUGACGUAUUCCGCGUUAAGGAAUAAUGAGGAUUAUCACAAGAUAAUUAAACAAAGGUGGUACCGCGUUAAUAAGUUUAUUUACGCCCUUUGC